UUUACACGGGGUUUAAAGGCCGCCACAAGUUCUUGUUACAUUUUGGGGGAAACCUGCGUCCAUCUUCUCCUAGUGUUCUUCCGCUGAUUUAUGGAUUUUCCUAAUUGAAUCACAAAAUCGCAGCGGUCAGGAGAAUGCGUAAGACAUAACCUACAUUUAUCAUUUAUCAAACACGUAACAAAUGGAAACUCCACAAAAGGGAAAUGAAAACCAUCAAGAAGCCACAAGUCCCUCAAAUGCUGGUGGCUUUAGAGGGUUGAUUUAUGAACAGUACUGUAAAGCCAAAGAAAAUGCAGAAGCGUAUCCUUAUGUGUGGGCUUCCUAUCUUAUUGUGUAUGGUGGAUUUGGUCUUUGGGUGUCAUAUCGCUACAGAAAGCUCUGUAAGACUGAAGACAGAGUUAAAGCCCUUCAAGAGAAACUUCGCAAACUUCGUCAAGAGAGAGAGCCAGGAAGCUCCACUGCCUCGACUGAAAAUGUACCAUCGUCCUCCAAUAAACCUACCAAAUAGUCUCUGGUAAGCUCCGUUUCAGUUGAAUGAAUUUUGCAAGGGAAAUGCUUUGGCAUAAAUCCUAGGAUCUUUUUGCUGAUAUUUGUGUAGACAUUAAUUUUUUUCAUAUGAGUGUUAUUAGGUUUUUUGUACCAAAAUUUACACUACACAUACUUUGCAGAAGAAGUUUAUGUUUGAUCAUUGGUUGAGAUCACUUUUGGUGAUACAUGUUUCUUCUGCUGGAAAUCUUCAUUUCAAUGUUGAACUUGAGGAGACUUCUAAAGAAUUGAAUAUUUAGUUUAAAUG